rnacentral:tRNA from 1 species
GUGAGUGUAGCUCAGUUGGUUAGAGCGCGAGGUUGUGGUCCUUGAGGUCAUGGGUUCGACCCCCAUCACUCACC